AGCAGUAGCCGCGGUAAUACGUAGGGUGCAAGCGUUAAUCGGAAUUACUGGGCGUAAAGCGUGCGUAGGCGGUUCGUUAAGUCUGUUGUGAAAGCCCCGGGCUCAACCUGGGAAUGGCAAUGGAUACUGGCGAGCUAGAGUGUGUCAGAGGAUGGUGGAAUUCCCGGUGUAGCGGUGAAAUGCGUAGAGAUCGGGAGGAACAUCAGUGGCGAAGGCGGCCAUCUGGGACAACACUGACGCUGAGGCACGAAAGCGUGGGGAGCAAACAGGAUUAGAUACCCCUGUAGUCCCUGUCUCUUAUAA
rnacentral:rRNA from 1 species